UGAAAAGAACUUUGAAGAGAGAGUUUAAGAGGACGUGAAACCGAUUGGAAGCAAGAAAAAGGAGCUGAAUAUGGUUACAGCUGUGUUCAACAGACAAUGGCGGAAUCUGUAUGUUAGUGACGUCCAAGUCUGUGCUGUCGCAGCUUAUCAGGCCGGUUGUUUUGGCAUUUCUAUAGCGAGUAUGGAGUUGGUGUCUGGCGUUACCAGCUACUCGCUUCAAACGUUGCUUGGGAGGAUGCCGAGACCCAAAUGUGUAGAAUGGCGGAUGCCUGCAUGGAGUAGUCAAUUGGCUGUCAUUCUUGAUGACUUAACAGCUGCGUCAGCGGGUUGUCCGAAUACACGUAGCCGGCGAUUAUCAUUUGUCCUUUUGCCCCGUCUUGAAACACGGACCAAGGAGUCCAGCAUGUGCGCGAGCAAAUCAGGGUGUUAUCCUGAAUCGCAGAAUGAAAUUGAUGUAUAUUUGGAGAGUAGGUGAAAGGCUGCCCGCACAAACGUCAUGUCUGUCUCGUUUCGUCGAGAAGGCGUAGAAAGAGUGGACAUGCUGGGACCCGAAAGAUGGUGAACUAUGCAUGAGCGGGAUGAAGCCAGAGGAAACUCUGGUGGAAGUCCACAGCAGUUCUGACGUGCAAAUCGAUUGUCAGACUUGUGUAUAGG
rnacentral:rRNA from 1 species